GACGAACGCUGGCGGCGUGCUUAACACAUGCAAGUCGAACGAAGUGGCGAACGGGUGAGUAAUACGUGGGUAACCUGCCCUCCUUUUUGGGAUAAGCCUUGGAAACGGGGUCUAAUACCGAAUAAAGGGGGAUGGGCUCGCGGCCUAUCAGAUUGUUGGUGGGGUGAUGGCCUACCACGGCGGUGACGGGUAGCCGGCAUGAGAGGGUGACCGGCGACAGUGGGACGGCGAGACGGCCCAGAGGCCUACGGGAGGCAGCAGUGGGGGAGAUUGCACAAUGGGCGAAAUGCUGAUGCAGCGACGCCGCUUGGGGGGUGAAGGCUUUCGAGUUGUAAACAUCUGUCGCGAUCGAACGGGUAGGUGAAGAAGAAGCGCCGGCUAACUACGUGCCAGCAGCCGCGGUAAUUC
rnacentral:rRNA from 1 species